UCGGUCAACCCCUCUUCUUCUCUCUCUCUCUUCUUCUCUUUCUCUCUUCCUCUCUUCCUUUUAAAAUUUCCGCCGUUAGACUUGAACUCGCGGUCACCGUCGUUGCUCAGCGCCGGUGCCGUCGCCGCUGCUGUCCCGUGUUGCUCGCCGCGACUGCUGCCACCGCCGUGUCGUCGCUGCUGCUGUCGCGGGGAGGCGCCGCCGCUGCUGUCGCAGAGAGGUCCAGCCGCCGGGAGGAGCUGCUGCCGGAGUCGCCGGACAGCGCAGAUGCUGUCGCCGGCUCCCUCCCUUCCGCCAGCCGCUGUUUCCGCUGGAGUCGUCGGGAACGCCGCUGCCGGCAGCUUCCUCCUCCCCGAAACCACUCCGAACCCGCCCGGAAACACUCCGAAAAGACCCGCAAGGUGUAUUUUUAUUAUCAAGCUACGUACUUUAGGACUUUCGAUUGCAUACGGCGAGUGUUCGAUUAAUUUCAAUUGUUGGAUUGUUUGAUUUAUGUUAAUUGUUGAAUUUUCUUGUGGGAGGUUCAUGUGUGAUGAUAUGCAAUGUAUACAAUGAUCCAAAAAGAAGGGAUUAUACCUUCCAAUAGGUUGGUCUUGGUGGUGAAUGAACAAGAAUGUGGAAUGUGAGGAGUUAGAGAAGAGCAUAAAUUGAGAAGUGGUGGUGACUCUUGGUUUGUGGGCAUUGAUGGUGGAAGAUAGAAGGUGAAGGAGUUGGAGAAGAUGAAAAGUGGAAAGUCUCCAUGGGUGGAGGGGGAAGGAAUCGGCCAUAUGUGUGAGGAAGAAGACAAACAUUUUUGGGCUUGUUCCCAAUUGUUUGGAAAGAAGAAUUGGACUCCCAAAUUAAAUUAAUUGAUUUGGGCUCAUUAAGUUGCAAGCCCAAUUUGUAUAAUUAUUUAGUUGGUCAUGGCCCCAAGCCAUUUAAAAGAAACAUUUGGACUCUACUUUUAAUUUGAGAAGCCCAAGAUAAAACCGUACUUUA